GUGCCAGCCGCCGCGGUAAUACCGGCAGCACAAGUGAUGGCCGAUAUUAUUGGGCCUAAAGCGUCCGUAGCCGGCCGGACAAGUCCGUUGGGAAAUCUGCGCGCUUAACGCGCAGGCGUCCAGCGGAAACUGUUCGGCUUGGGGCCGGAGGACCCGAGGGGUACGUCCGGGGUAGGAGUGAAAUCCUGUAAUCCUGGACGGACCACCGAUGGCGAAAGCACUUCGAGAAAACGGAUCCGACAGUGAGGGACGAAAGCCAGGGUCUCCAACCGGAUUAGAUACCCCUGUAGUCC
rnacentral:rRNA from 1 species